GCCAGGUGUGGUGGUGCACACCUGUAAUCCUAGUACGCUUGGGAGGCUGAGGCAGGAGAAUCGCUUGAACUUGGGAGGUGGGGGCUGCAGUGAGCUGAGUCAUGCCACUGCACUCCAGCCUGAGUGACAGAGCCAGACUCUGUCUCAA
rnacentral:SRP_RNA from 2 species